UUUAUCAGGGGGAUAGCCCGGAGAAAUCCGGAUUAAUACCGCAUAAAAUCACAGUAUUGCAUAAUACAAUGAUCAAACAUUUAUGGGAUGAAGAUGGGCAUGCGUGUCAUUAGCUAGUUGGCGGGGUAACGGCCCACCAAGGCGACGAUGACUAGGGGAUCUGAGAGGAUGACCCCCCACACUGGUACUGAGACACGGACCAGACUCCUACGGGAGGCAGCAGUAAGGAAUAUUGGUCAAUGGAGGCAACUCUGAACCAGCCAUGCCGCGUGCAGGAAGACUGCCCUAUGGGUUGUAAACUGCUUUUAUCCGGGAAUAAACCUAUUUACGAGUAAAUAGCUGAAUGUACCGGAAGAAUAAGGAUCGGCUAACUCCGUGCCAGCAGCCGCGGUAAUACGGAGGAUCCAAGCGUUAUCCGGAUUUAUUGGGUUUAAAGGGUGCGUAGGCGGCCCGUUAAGUCAGGGGUGAAAGACGGUAGCUCAACUAUCGCAGUGCCUUUGAUACUGACGGGCUUGAAUGAACUAGAGGUAGGCGGAAUGAGACA
rnacentral:rRNA from 1 species